AUGGGAUGGGAUGGGAUGGGAUGGGAUGGGAUGGGAUGGGAUGGGACAGGAUGGCAUGAGACAGGACAGGACAGGAUGAGAUGGGAUGAGAUGGUGUGAGAUGCGAUGGGAUGAGAUAGGAUAGGACGGAAUGGGACGGGAUGGGAUAGGAUGGGAUAGGAUAGGAUAGGAUAGGAUAGGAUAGGAUAGGAUAGGAUGGGAUGGGAUGGGAUGGGAUGGGAUGGGAUGGGAUGGGAUGGGAUGGGACGGGACAGGACAGGAUGAGAUGGGAUGAGAUGGUGUGAGAUGCGAUGGGAUGAGAUAGGAUAGGAUAGGACGGAAUGGGAUGGGACAGGAUAGGAUGGGACGGGAUGAGAUGAGAUGGGAUAGAAUGGGAUGGAAUGAGAUGGGAUGGGAUGGGAUGGGAUGGAACAGGAUAGAAUAGGACAGGAUGGGAUGAGACAAGACGAGAAGGGAUGGGACAGGAUGGGAUGAGACCGGAUGAAUGUAUGUCUUGCUGCACUUCUCCCUCUGGGCUGAAAUACCAAUUCCAGUGAAUUCAGUAUCAGAUAAUUUGGUGGCACUGAGAUGCCAGCUCUGAUUUCCCACUCUAAGCUUGAUGAUUCCUUAUCAGCACAUCUGUCAGUAUUUACUGGCCAGCAGGUUUCACAGGCAAAUUCAAAAGAAUAAAUCCAUUAUUGUGGCACCAUUCCUGUCUUGGCAACUUUCAGGAUCUGACUUAGGUGCCUAAAUUACACAACCAGCCUUCCAAGGAUACCUCAGCAGUCAAUGGAAAGGAGAAAGACAUUCAUGAGUACAAUUCAGAGUAAGAAAUCAGUACUGGGGCCUGUUUUCCUCCAUUAAUUGUAUAGGAAGAAAAAGUUAUUGUCCAAAUGUCCAUACUUCACAGAGUCACAGUCACAUAAUGGUUGAGGUAGGAAGUGUUUGAUCUCUGGACCUGCUCCAGCACCUGUGCCAGCAAAGACAGGA
rnacentral:lncRNA from 1 species